CCCGCAUUGUUUAUUUGAAACUAAAGUAUUUAUCGGGUAACGAGUGGGGAUGCGUGACAUUAGAUAGUAGGCGGGGUAACGGCCCACCUAGUCUACGAUGUCUAGGGGUUCUGAGAGGAAGGUCCCCCACACUGGAACUGAGACACGGUCCAGACUCCUACGGGAGGCAGCAGUGAGGAAUAUUGGUCAAUGGUCGGAAGACUGAACCAGCCAAGUAGCGUGAAGGAUGAAGGUUCUAUGGAUUGUAAACUUCUUUUAUACGGGAAUAAAACCUCCCACGUGUGGGAGCUUGUAUGUACCGUAUGAAUAAGCAUCGGCUAACUCCGUG
rnacentral:rRNA from 1 species